rnacentral:rRNA from 1 species
CAGAGGGGGCAAGCGUUGUUCGGAAUUACUGGGCGUAAAGGGCGCGUAGGCGGCCUGCUAAGUCGAACGUGAAAUCCCUGGGCUCAACCCAGGAACUGCGUCCGAUACUGGUUGGCUUGAAUUCGGGAGAGGGAUGUGGAAUUCCAGGUGUAGCGGUGAAAUGCGUAGAUAUCUGGAGGAACACCGGUGGACGAAGGCGGCAUCCUGGACCGAUAUUGACGCUGAUGCGCGAAAGCCAGGGGAGCAAACGGGAUUAGAUACCCCGGUAGUCCUGGCCCUAAACGAUGAAUGCUUGGUGUGGCGGGUAUCGAUCCCUGCCGUGCCGAAGCUAACGCAUUAAGCAUUCCGCCUGGGGAGUACGGUCGCAAGGCUG